rnacentral:rRNA from 1 species
UACGUAGGUGGCAAGCGUUAUCCGGAAUUACUGGGCGUAAAGCGCACGCAGGUGGCUUGUUAAGUCUGACGUGAAAGCUCCUGGCUUAACUGGGAGAGGUCGUUGGAGACUGGCAGGCUUGAGGCGAGGAGAGGGGUGUAGAAUUCCCGGUGUAGUGGUGGAAUGCGUAGAUAUCGGGGGGAAUACCAGUGGCGAAAGCGGCACCCUGGCCUUGGCCUGACGCUCAGGUGCGAAAGCGUGGGGAGCAAACGGG